AAAGAUUAUACCAAAAAUUUUGAUUUUGACUUGAUUUUAUGAUAUGUUGUAGAUUUAUGGAUGAUUUACACGAUGACAAAAAAUUUUAAUUUUUAGAUUAUAUAUAAUUUUUAAAAAUUAAAAAUUAAAAAUAAAUAAAUUUUUAAAAAAAUGUAAAAUCAGAAGCAUAUUUAGGGGCAUGCAAGCUACUUUUCGGCUAAAUUUGGUGUCCAUUUAUUCAAGUUUUGAUGCGAUCAUAUGCAUAGUGACCGAGGCCUAAUUUUGAAAAAAAUUGAGAAACAAAUAUCCUUUGAUAUAUGCCCUCGGGCCUAAAUCUGGUGCAUCUAAGGCAUUGUCUUCUGGGGCUACUAUCUUACACAAUCCAGAGCAUCUUACGGAUCAGAUUUUGUUGCCAUUAUAUUCGGAUGAGCCCCUCUACAGCCGUAUUAUCAGCCAGAGGACACCUCUCAGAGGUAAAGCUUCAGCGAGAGAUCCUAGAGUGCUUAUAACCCAAAGCACAUUCUUUAUGUUAGAGGGUUGCUUAAUUAGAGGGGUGGGUUGAUAUGCCUCUUGAUUAUGUUAAUGAUCCGGAUAUCUAUGAGAGGCAUUGCCAUGCUAUGAAAUUUUAAAUAUCGGUAUAUAUAUUGUACUUUAAAUAUAUGUAAUUGAUUAUAUUAUUUUAUAUUUUUUACCUUACUAGUUGAUUUUAGGAUAUUUUAUGUUGCUUCUUGUAGCAUGCAACAUCUCAUUAAUCUUUUUAUAUUUUGUAUCACUUUAAAAUAAUAAGAUGCAUUAUUUAGGUUAAAUCGGGAUCGUAGAAACAUCAAGAAACAUCAAAUGAUACUUAAAAUCAUUGAAAAAGUUGAAAAAAAAUUGAUUACCAAUUAAUCAAACUUGGAAAACUUUUUAAAAAAAAUUAGGUGUGCCGGUUCGGAACGGGCACGCCCAAGCGUACCGACAAACUGGCAAGCCUAAGCGUAUCGUGUGUCGGUAUGGUACUGGUUCGCCCACUGACCGGUAUGGGUUCCAGUACCGGUUUGGCAGACCUUGUUCUGAACAAUGUACUCAAAACCAUAUCCUUCAGGUGGUUUAAUCCAAGAAUAGUAGGCCCCAAAUCAUAUCCUUUGAUAUAGUUUAGCCCAAAGUGGCACAUUAAAAAGAGGGCCCACAACCAUGCCCUUUAAGGUGAUGUAGGCCAAAACAAUCGAAGUCAUGAAAAAUGGGUUUAUAGACAUAUUCUUUCAUGGUGGUUUGGCUCCAAGGACUUUCAAAGUCUUUAAAAUGUAGCCAUUUCCUUUAGGAAUAGCUUUUCUUUUUAAUCAAAAUAGAUCUCUAAGUAUUUUUUGAACUAGGAAGAAACAACAAGAGAGACCCCUUAGUCUCUAAACUAGAGAAAUUGAAGACUGACCUUUAAGUCUCUAAAUUGGGCAAAUUUAACAUAGGACCCUAACCCUAAGUCUCUAAACUAGACAGAUUCAAAAUAGACCUCUGAGUCUUUAAACUGAAUAAAUUUAAGAAAGACCUCUAUGUCUCGAAACUGGACAAAUUGAAGAUAGACCUCUAGGUCUAUAAGAUGGACAAAUUCAGGAUACACCUCUAAGUCUUUAAACUAGCCAAAAUUAAAAGACUUCUAAGUCUCUAAGCUGGUUAUAUUUAAGACAGGCAGUCCCUUAAACUAGGCAAACUAAAUUCAAGAAGGACCGAUAAGUCCUAAAACUUGGUAAACUUAAGUUGGAUUUCAAAAUCUUUAUACUGUGCUUUUCUACUUAAUCUCCUGUUCUUGACUCCUGGUAAAUGUAGAUCUACUCGUAAAACAAUGUAUAAUAGGGAUUUAAUCCAUGUAAAUUUGAUUAAAUUGCAAUAAACCUACAUUAUAUUUUCACUGAUUUUCUAUAGUAACUUUUUAAGGGCUCUUAAUCGAUGGAAAAAGGGAUGAUGAAUAAUAAGCUCUUGAGCUUGCUGGGAGCCAU
rnacentral:lncRNA from 1 species